GCAUGGCUGAAUGCGUGUUCUUUUCACCAGUUUUUUACAUAGCCAGACAUCAUGCAAAAAACAAAAAAAAAAGUGGGGGGAGUGGCAUUCUUCCCUUUAAAGUCGUUCAGGUGAUAUGGUAAGCUUUUUCAUAGUAUAUCAUUAUUAAAGGGAAAUACAACU
ensembl:snoRNA